UUGCUCCUCUGACGUUAGCGGCGGACGGGUGAGUAACACGUGGAUAACCUACCUAUAAGACUGGGAUAACUUCGGGAAACCGGAGCUAAUACCGGAUAAUAUAUUGAACCGCAUGGUUCAAUAGUGAAAGACGGUUUUGCUGUCACUUAUAGAUGGAUCCGCGCCGCAUUAGCUAGUUGGUAAGGUAACGGCUUACCAAGGCAACGAUGCGUAGCCGACCUGAGAGGGUGAUCGGCCACACUGGAACUGAGACACGGUCCAGACUCCUACGGGAGGCAGCAGUAGGGAAUCUUCCGCAAUGGGCGAAAGCCUGACGGAGCAACGCCGCGUGAGUGAUGAAGGUCUUCGGAUCGUAAAACUCUGUUAUUAGGGAAGAACAAAUGUGUAAGUAACUAUGCACGUCUUGACGGUACCUAAUCAGAAAGCCACGGCUAACUACGUGCCAGCAGCCGCGGUAAUACGUAGGUGGCAAGCGUUAUCCGGAAUUAUUGGGCGUAAAGCGCGCGUAGGCGGUUUUUUAAGUCUGAUGUGAAAGCCCACGGCUCAACCGUGGAGGGUCAUUGGAAACUGGAAAACUUGAGUGCAGAAGAGGAAAGUGGAAUUCCAUGUGUAGCGGUGAAAUGCGCAGAGAUAUGGAGGAACACCAGUGGCGAAGGCGACUUUCUGGUCUGUAACUGACGCUGAUGUGCGAAAGCGUGGGGAUCAAACAGGAUUAGAUACCCUGGUAGUCCACGCCGUAAACGAUGAGUGCUAAG
rnacentral:rRNA from 1 species